rnacentral:rRNA from 1 species
GACGAACGCUGGCGGCGUGCUUAACACAUGCAAGUCGAGCGGUAAGGCCCUUUCGGGGGUACACGAGCGGCGAACGGGUGAGUAACACGUGGGUGACCUGCCCUCAGCUCUGGGAUAAGCCUGGGAAACCGGGUCUAAUACUGGAUAUGACUCCAUGACGCAUGUUGUGGGGUGGAAAGCCUUGUGCGGCUGAGGAUGGGCCCGCGGCCUAUCAGCUUGUUGGUGGGGUGAUGGCCUACCAAGGCGACGACGGGUAGCCGGCCUGAGAGGGCGACCGGCCACACUGGGACUGAGACACGGCCCAGACCCCUACGGGAGGCAGCAGUGGGGAAUCUUGCGCAAUGGGCGAAAGACCUGACGCAGCGACGCCGCGUGAGGGAUGAC